GCAGCAGUGGGGAAUAUUGGACAAUGGACCAAAAGUCUGAUCCAGCAAUUCUGUGUGCACGAUGACGUUUUUCGGAAUGUAAAGUGCUUUCAGUUGGGAAGAAAAAAAUGACGGUACCAACAGAAGAAGUGACGGCUAAAUACGUGCCAGCAGCCGCGGUAAUACGUAUGUCACAAGCGUUAUCCGGAUUUAUUGGGCGUAAAGCGCGUCUAGGUGGUUAUGUAAGUCUGAUGUGAAAAUGCAGGGCUCAACUCUGUAUUGCGUUGGAAACUGCAUGACUAGAGUACUGGAGAGGUAAGCGGAACUACAAGUGUAGAGGUGAAAUUCGUAGAUAUUUGUAGGAAUGCCGAUGGGGAAGCCAGCUUACUGGACAGAUACUGACGCUAAAGCGCGAAAGCGUGGGUAGCAAACAGGAUUAGAUACCC
rnacentral:rRNA from 1 species